rnacentral:tRNA from 1 species
GGAGAGAUGUCCGAGUGGCUGAAGGAGCACGCUUGGAAAGCGUGUGUACCUCAAAAGGGUAUCGAGGGUUCGAAUCCCUCUCUCUCCGCGA